rnacentral:rRNA from 1 species
UACAGCGGGUGCAAGCGUUAAUCGGAAUUACUGGGCGUAAAGGGUGCGUAGGUGGUUUGUUAAGUCAGGCGUGAAAUCCCUGGGCUCAACCUGGGAACUGCGUUUGAUACUGGCAGACUCGAGUCUGGUAGAGGGGAGUGGAAUUCCGCGUGUAGCGGUGAAAUGCGUAGAUAUGCGGAGGAACAGCAGUGGCGAAGGCGGCUACCUGGACCAAGACUGACGCUGAGGCGCGAAAGCGUGGGGAGCAAACAGG